rnacentral:lncRNA from 1 species
AUAACAGCUCUGAUUUCUCAUGGCUCAUACUCGUCUGAAACGACUCAGGUAGAGGCUGAGGAAGGCCGUGUUGUUUGUCUACCUGGGACUACACCUACUGAAAGAAGUUCUCAAGUUCUGAUUGAGUUCUAAAAUUUUUUGAAGAUUGGAAUUCUUCAUAUGUAAAAAGAGAAGAGAAAGACAUUCUUGAUUUUGGUGACUAGAGUUGUAGAUGCUGGAAGCUUUGCCACUAACAUUGAUGAACCAGAUGCAUGUCACCAGCCCAUCACGGUGAUUCUUAAUGCCGGCACCAUGGGCCCGGCACUGCCACGUUUUCCAAGGAACCUGCCGGAGCUCCUGCGGAAGCUGCUCCUCAGGCGAUGGAGUCCCUUCGCUGGUAGGCCCUUCUUCAGUCACCACAGGAUGCCUGCCAUUCAUGAACAAGAAGGAGAGGACGGGCUUUGAAUAAAAAACAGGAAUAUCCAGCCACUGGUGCACAGCCAUUGCCACUUGUGCCCCCAGGGGAUCUUGUCAACUCCAGUAUGUCCCCCCAGCACUGUGUUAUCUGGCAUAAUAAAUGUAGUUGGGCUGUAGUUGUAGUGACUCCUCCCAAAACAACCCAGGAGUUUAAUACUGUUUGGCCACCGGUUACAGACAUUGCUGCCCCUUCCGCUGCGGCUUUAAAAGCCUAUCUAAUCGGCUGGGUGUGAUGGUGGCUCAGACCUAUAAUCCCAGCACUUUGGGAGUCCAAGGUGGGUGGAUCACCUGAGGUCAGGAGUUUGAGACCGGCCUGGCCAACAUGGUGAAACCCCAUCUCUACUAAAAAUACAGCAAAUUAGCUGGGCGUGGUGGCGCAUGACUGUAAUCCCAGCUACUCGGGAGGCUGAGGUAGGAGAAUUGCUUGGGUGGCAGAGUAAGACUCCGUCCCAAAAAAAAAAGUUAUCUAAUCAGGGACGUCACCUUUCCCUGCCAGUCAUUUUGUUACCAAUGAAAGAAAACAUAUUCAAAUCAAUUUUUAGUUCAGAAAAUGUUUCUUUCAUUGUAUCUUUGAAUUUUAUUGUUCUGCAUUUUUUACUUCAAAAACACCUACUAUAUGCAUUUUUUCUCUCGUUUCCUUUUUUUUCCAAGAAAUGUUUUUGUCCUUUUGAUUUUUUCACUGACCAUUACCAUUAUUUAUAUACCAUGUACCUGGAGAGUUUCCAAUGUUUCUCUUUGGUCUGAGAUACUUGCUAUGAUUUUCACUUUUUAAAUGCUCUUUUGAGAUUUGUUUUGUGGCCUAAAAUGUGGUCUAUCCUGGAGAAUGUUCUGUGAGCUGAUGAGAAGAAUGCACGUUCUGCAGUUGGUGGGUGAAAUGUUCUGUAAUUACCUGUGAGGUCCCUUUGACUUCUCUUGGAGUCAGUCUGGUCUGUUACUUUUCUGCCUAGAGGGUGUGUCUGUUGCUGAAAGUGGGUGUUGGAGUCCCCAGCUAUUAUUGUCUGUCUCUGUCUGUUGCUCGAAUAACUCUUACUUUAAUAACUGGGGCUCCUGUGUCAGGUGUGUUUACAUUGACAACUGUCCUACCUUCUUGCUGAAUUGAUCUCUUUAUCGUUUUAUAAUGACCUUUAUUUUCUAUUUUUGUGCUUUUUUGACUUAAAGCCUACUUUGUGUGACAAGCAUAGCUAUACAUACUCACUUUUGGUAACACUUUUCAUUUCUUAUCAUCUUCAUUGAAUCUCACUUCUUCACAUUUACCAAAAUGUCUACUUUUGAGCUGUGGCACCUCUUUGAAUCUUCAGAUCCACCACAUGCUGAUCAAGCCUUCCUUUUUGUCUGUACUCUGAGGAAUCCCAAACAGGCAUUUUUGCAAGAAAGUCUAGGAGGGAAACAUAAAUCUAUGUGUCAAAAAAAUGAACAUAGAAAAUAAUGUGUCCUGGUUAACAAAAGUUCUCAUUGUAAAGUGUUAGGCACAAGACUAUGGAAUUUCAUGUGCCAUAAAUAAAAUUGUCUUGAUUUGUCUAAAACUACAUUUUGUCUAAAACUACUUUUAAAAAUUACAUGUUACUCUAAUAAAUGUAUUUUUGAGAAUUUGGUGACUUAUUUCCUAGAUCUCUUUCUUUAAUUUUAAAUUAAAUUCCAGCAUAUUUUGUUUGUGUGAGGCAGAAAUUUAAAAAUAAAUAUGCAAUUAUUCACUCCAAGAAAAGUAACAGGCAAGGCAAGGGUUAAAAAGAAAAGAACAAGUUUUCCUCUGCUUAGCAGCUCACUUCAAGGACAGUUAUUAGAUAAGGCUGUUUGAGAAGCCAAGGCCAAAGGAAUGGGCUCCAGACACCCCCUCUUCCAGAGCAAGGAUGAAGGAAAAAAAAGAAAAAGACAAUUUAUUUUACUGUUACUCUUUCCCCAGCCUUCUUAAGCAUGAUUAUGUUUUACAAAUGUCCGUAUUUAGCCAGUUCCUGUUUUUCUUUCAAUGCAGCUACAAGGCCACUGGCUAUGCAAGGCCACAAGUUGUGCUAUGCUCUAGAUUAUGUGACCUGUCAUAUGAUUAGCUGCUUUUGUUUUAUUUAUUGUAAGUCCACUUACAAAAACCCCGCUCUGUCUUUGUUUAAUGCUCAGCUUUUUGGAUGCGAAUCCACUGAGCCAAUGUGUACCUAAAAUAAACAAUCCUCCUGUACUCUC